rnacentral:rRNA from 1 species
CCUACGGGUGACUGCAGUGAGGAAUAUUGGUCAAUGGGCGAAAGCCUGAACCAGCCAAGUCGCGUGAGGGAUGAAGGUUCUAUGGUUUGUAAACUUCUUUUAUAUGGGAAUAAAGUGCGGGACGUGUUCCUUUUUGUAUGUACCAUAUGAAUAAGCGUCGGCUAACUCCGUGCCAGCAGCCGCGGUAAUACGGAGGAUGCGAUCGUUAUCCGGAUUUAUUGGGUUUAAAGGGUGCGUAGGUGGGUAAUUAAGUCAACGGUGAAAGUGUGUGGCUCAACCAUAGAAUUGCCGUUGAAACUGGUUGACUUGAGUAUAUUUGAGGUAGGUGGAAUUCGUGGUGUAGCGGUGAAAUGCAUAGAUAUCACGAAGAACGUCGAUUGCGAAGGCAGCUUACUAGACUAUAACUGACACUGAGGCGCGAAAGCGUGGGGAUCAAACAGGAUUAGAUACCCGGGUAGUC